ACAAUGGAGAGUUUGAUCCUGGCUCAGGAUGAACGCUAGCGGCAGGCCUAACACAUGCAAGUCGAGGGGUAACGUAGAAAGCUUGCUUUCUGACGACGACCGGCGCACGGGUGCGUAACGCGUAUACAAUCUGCCUCAUACAGGGGAAUAGCCCGGAGAAAUUCGGAUUAAUGCCCCAUGGUAAUGGAUUUUCGCAUGAUUUUCCAUUUAAAGCUCCGGCGGUAUGAGAUGAGUAUGCGUCCUAUUAGCUUGUUGGUGAGGUAACGGCUCACCAAGGCUACGAUAGGUAGGGGGCCUGAGAGGGUGUCCCCCCACACUGGUACUGAGACACGGACCAGACUCCUACGGGAGGCAGCAGUGAGGAAUAUUGGUCAAUGGACGAAAGUCUGAACCAGCCAUGCCGCGUGAAGGAUGACUGCCCUAUGGGUUGUAAACUUCUUUUAUAUGGGAAUAAACGCAGGUACGUGUACCUGCCUGAAUGUACCAUACGAAUAAGGAUCGGCUAACUCCGUGCCAGCAGCCGCGGUAAUACGGAGGAUCCAAGCGUUAUCCGGAUUUAUUGGGUUUAAAGGGUGCGUAGGCGGAUUAAUAAGUUAGUGGUGAAAGCCCGGGGCUCAACUCCGGAACUGCCAUUGAUACUGUUAGUCUUGAGUCAACUUGAAGUGGGCGGAAUAAGGCAUGUAGCGGUGAAAUGCAUAGAUAUGCCUUAGAACACCGAUUGCGCAGGCAGCUCACUAAAUUUGUACUGACGCUGAGGCACGAAAGCGUGGGGAGCGAACAGGAUUAGAUACCCUGGUAGUCCACGCCGUAAACGAUGAUAACUCGCUGUUGGCGAUAUACUGUCAGCGGCCAAGCGAAAGCAUUAAGUUAUCCACCUGGGGAGUACGCCGGCAACGGUGAAACUCAAAGGAAUUGACGGGGGCCCGCACAAGCGGUGGAGCAUGUGGUAACCUUACCAGGGCUUAAAUGGGACCGGACAGAUCUAGAAAUAGAUCCUUCUUCGGACUGGUCUCAAGGUGCUGCAUGGUUGUCGUCAGCUCGUGCCGUGAGGUGUCGGGUUAAGUCCCAUAACGAGCGCAACCCCUAUUCUUAGUUGCCAGCGGUUCGGCCGGGGACUCUAAGAAAACUGCCAGCGCAAGCUGUGAGGAAGGUGGGGAUGACGUCAAAUCAUCACGGCCCUUACGUCCUGGGCCACACACGUGCUACAAUGGUAGGUACAGAGGGCAGCCACUACGUGAGUAGGAGCGAAUCCUUAAAGCCUAUCUCAGUUCGGAUCGAAGUCUGCAACUCGACUUCGUGAAGCUGGAAUCGCUAGUAAUCGCGCAUCAGCCAUGGCGCGGUGAAUACGUUCCCGGGCCUUGUACACACCGCCCGUCAAGCCAUGGAAGCUGGGGGUACCUGAAGUCGGUAACCGCAAGGAGCCGCCUAGGGUAAAACUAGUGACUGGGGCUAAGUCGUAACAAGGUAGCCGUACCGGAAGGUGCGGCUGGAACACCUCCUUU
rnacentral:rRNA from 1 species